GUGGGGAAUCUUCCGCAAUGGACGAAAGUCUGACGGAGCAACGCCGCGUGAGUGAUGAAGGUCUUCGGAUUGUAAAGCUCUGUUAAUCGGGACGAAAGAGCCUAGUGUGAAUAAUGCUAGGAAGUGACGGUACCGGAAUAGAAAGCCACGGCUAACUACGUGCCAGCAGCCGCGGUAAUACGUAGGUGGCAAGCGUUGUCCGGAAUUAUUGGGCGUAAAGCGCGCGCAGGCGGAUCUGCCAGUCUGUCUUAAAAGUUCGGGGCUUAACCCCGUGAUGGGAUGGGAACUACAGAUCUAGAGUAUCGGAGAGGAAAGUGGAAUUCCUAGUGUAGCGGUGAAAUGCGUAGAUAUUAGGAAGAACACCAGUGGCGAAGGCGACUUUCUGGACGAAAACUGACGCUGAGGCGCGAAAGCCAGGGGAGCGAACGGGAUUAGAUACCCGGGUAGUCC
rnacentral:rRNA from 1 species